rnacentral:rRNA from 1 species
UACGUAGGGUGCGAGCGUUAAUCGGAAUUACUGGGCGUAAAGCGUGCGCAGGCGGUUCGUUAAGUCAGAUGUGAAAGCCCCGAGCUCAACUUGGGAACUGCAUUUGAAACUGGCGGGCUGGAGUGUGGCAGAGGGGGGUGGAAUUCCACGUGUAGCAGUGAAAUGCGUAGAGAUGUGGAGGAACACCGAUGGCGAAGGCGGAUCUCUGGGCCGUAACUGACGCUGAGGAGCGAAAGCAUGGGUAGCGAACAGG